rnacentral:rRNA from 1 species
GUCCACGCCGUAAACGAUGUCUACUAGCCGUUGGAGAUCUAGAAUCUUUAGUGGCGAAGCUAACGCGAUAAGUAGACCGCCUGGGGAGUACGGCCGCAAGGUUAAACUCAAAUGAAUUGACGGGGCCCGCACAAGCGGUGGAGCAUGUGGUUUAAUUCGACGCAACGCGAAGAACCUUACCUGGCCUUGACAUCCUGCGAACUUUUCUAGAGAUAGAUUGGUGCCUUCGGGAGCGCAGAGACAGGUGCUGCAUGGCUGUCGU